GCCAGUGUGAUGUAGUGGUUUGAAAGUUGGACUAUGACUCUAGAGAUCAGGGUUCAAUUCCCAGAUCAGCCA